CCUACGGGGGGCAGCAGUGAGGAAUAUUGGUCAAUGGCCGUAAGGCUGAACCAGCCAAGUCGCGUGAAGGAAGAAGGAUCUAUGGUUUGUAAACUUCUUUUAUAGGGGAAUAAAGGGAUCCACGUGUGGAUAUUUGCAUGUACCCUAUGAAUAAGCAUCGGCUAACUCCGUGCCAGCAGCCGCUGUAAUACGGAGGAUGCGAGCGUUAUCCGGAUUUAUGGGGUUUAACGGGUUCGUAGGUUUUUUUUUAAGUCAGCGGUUCAAGUUUGUGGCUCCACCAUAAAAUUGCCGUUGAAACUGGAAUACUUGAUUGUGUUUGAGGUAGGCGGAAUGCGUGGUGUAGCGG
rnacentral:rRNA from 1 species